rnacentral:piRNA from 1 species
UCCCAGAUGCAAGCAUGUAAACAUACACAC